CUCAUAAUGUCAAUCUAAAUUCUAUACCUCUGCUUCUAGACGCUCUCGCUCUCUUCUCUGCGCCGCGCAAGAUGGUUCUUCAGUUGCACCUUGAAGUCCACCUUGAGUUGAUGGGUUGAAGGAUCUCCAUUGUUAGGGUUCUUGCUUUCUUGUUUCUUGCAGGGAUGAAAAAUAUUUGACCCAGUAUAGAGCAGUAUUUGUUGUCAACUGCAAGAUUAAGGAUGACAAAGUUGUGAAGCAAAAUAUACCAAAAUCAAGAAAAAGAAAUAGAAGGACUGAAAGCAAUGAUGCACAUUCGACUAACACUGAAACAUUCAAGCAAGUCUGCUGCUAUGUUUACUUGACAGAGAGGUGUCUAUCACAGAAAUGGGAACUUGUUUUUUCGUACAAACAUUCAUGUAGCAACAACAUUGGAGCAGAAACAACUUGAUUCAGCCAAAGCCAAGCUAAAAAGUCUGAAUUCCUCUUCAUAGUUAUAUGCUAGAACUGAACUCUGGUGGUUUGGGAGUAAUGCAGCAUUUUCCAGUGCGUUAAGGGCAAUGAAUCAAGGUUUUUUGGUGGAUGAGAGUAUGAAUGAGUUGCAAACUCUUUUACAUGGUUUUUAAAUUUCUCCCGCAAAUGGUCACUUGUUGAUGCUCUUAAGUCAAAUACUUUGAUCUUUUGCUUAAGAUCAGAAUUUGAUCAAUUGAGAAACACUAUUAUGGAGGAGACUCAAAGAAUGGUAAAACAAAUGAUGGAAGAAAGGAUGCAACAACCACCAAUGCCAACCCCAAAUCAAGAGGAGUUAGAAACUGAUGAGUCAGAGAAUGAGGAGGAUCUUGGUGCUUUUCCAUGAAAACUUUGUCAAGCUUUGUUUCUAUAUUUAAUGUAAUAGACUAUGUUUAAUGUAAUAGUUAGUAAUCUACUAGACUAGUUUAAGUAGUUCAUGGUAUACUUUUUGUGAUGAUUCAGUGAUGAAUUUAGGUGGAUAUGUUAAGAUUGUGUGUUUUGUGA